CCCUGUCACACUAGAGGCUGAAUGAGCUCGAAUCCCGUCCGAAUGAAAAUUUGACCCACAUUCAGGAAGUGUUGAGACACAUUCAAGGCUGUCAGA